GAAGCUAAUACCACACAGCGGCCUAUCCA
rnacentral:piRNA from 1 species